UUAUUUUUUCUAAAUUAGUUACAAACGUUGAAUUGUGAGAAAUUGAAUUCAUUGUUUUCCUAAUGGUCAAAGGCUCUUUCCGGGUACCCAUCUUUCUCUUUUCUUCUGUUGUGUUGGAUCAUGAUUAUUUCUGCAGAAAAAAUUGUGAUCAUGCUGAAUUUUUUUUUUAUAGAAAAGUAGCUGAAUUGGAGUUUGAAUUUAAGACUUUGAUAUUGAUUUUUAAGACCUUUAUAUUCUUUAACUAAUCAUUGCCUCAUGGUGUGCAAAAACCAACUGGGGCUCUUUUUAAUUUUGAAUUUAAAAAUUUAGACUAUGAAAAAACCCAACUGGGGCUCUUUUUCUGGAACAUGAGGGAGUAUGUACUUACUUUUUUGUCGGUAUGAUUAUCAAGCAGCAUAAUUUUCAAAGUUAUAUCGGCAAAAUAUAAAGGAAGUCUCUCCUUUUCUUUUUUCUUAAAAAAAUCAUAAUGCUCAGAUUUAUAUAUAUAAACAUUUGUAUUCUUAUUUUCUAAAAAAAAUUAAAAUAAGAGUUCCCUUCAUAAUUGAAUUUUUUACACGUGGGUGUGUUCUAGUUUCGUCAUUUGUUGUUUAGAUUAGUUGGGAUUGAAUUUGUUUUUCUUAAUUCUUUCUUGAUUUAUGUCAAAUUUGGUUGCAUUUUCUUUACUGAACUUGGAAUUAUAACAACUGAAGAUCGGUGGAUAUUAUUGAAGUUAGAACUUGGUGUGUUUUUGUGUUGCUUUUAAGCAUCAUAAAUUAGGGGAUUUGAAGUUAGUGUUGAUUUUUUUUGUUUGCUUUGUGUAAUAAAUCUGAUUUGUAACAAUGGAAAGUCUUAUGAGCAAGACAGAGACUUUACUGAACUUGGAAUUAUAAUCACUGAAGAUCGGUGGAUAUUGUUGAAGUUUUUUGUUUGUUAGAAAAAGAGAGAGAGAGAGAGAUGAACAGCUAUUUUUGGUUGUUUUAAUAAAUAAUUUUGCAGCUGGGUGUUUUAAAGUGAGGGUAAUUAAGUAUUUAGCCAAAUAAAGUAACGGAGUUAAGACGGAAAGCACUUUUUCACUUCAACUCAAAAAGUCAGGAGUUUAAAUAUAUCUUUACUAACUACAGAUGGUUAAGUGAAAAUCGUCC
rnacentral:lncRNA from 1 species